AGCGAACGCUAGCGGCGGGCUUAACACAUGCAAGUCGAGCGCAUCUCCUUCGGGAGGUGAGCGGCGAACGGGUGAGUAACACGUAGGUAACGUACCCUCUGGUGGGGAAUAACCCAGGGAAACUUGGGCUAAUACCGCAUGUGCCCUUCGGGGUGAAAGACUUCGGUUGCCAGAGGAUCGGCCUGCGGCCCAUUAUUUAAUCCUAGUUGGUAGGGUAACGGCCUACCAAGGGUACGAUGGGUAGCUGGUCUGAGAGGAUGAUCAGCCACACUGGGACUGAGACACGGCCCAGACUCCUACGGGAGGCAGCAGUGGGGAAUAUUGGACAAUGGGCGCAAGCCUGAUCCAGCAAUGCCGCGUGUGUGAAGAAGGCCUGCGGGUUGUAAAGCACUUUCAGUGGGGAAGAACAGAUUCGGGUCAAUACCCCGGAGCCCUGACGUUACCCACAGAAGAAGCACCGGCUAACUCCGUG
rnacentral:rRNA from 1 species